UGAGGAAUAUUGGUCAAUGGACGCAAGUCUGAACCAGCCAAGUAGCGUGCAGGAUGACGGCCCUAUGGGUUGUAAACUGCUUUUAUAUGGGGAUAAAGUGGGGAACGUGUUCCCUUUUGCAGGUACCAUAUGAAUAAGGACCGGCUAAUUCCGUGCCAGCAGCCGCGGUAAUACGGAAGGUUCGGGCGUUAUCCGGAUUUAUUGGGUUUAAAGGGAGCGUAGGCCGUUUGGUAAGCGUGUUGUGAAAUGUAGGAGCUCAACUUCUAGAUUGCAGCGCGAACUGUCAGACUUGAGUAUGCAGGAAGUAGGCGGAAUUCAUGGUGUAGCGGUGAAAUGCUUAGAUAUCAUGAAGAACUCCGAUUGCGAAGGCAGCUUACGGGAGCGCAACUGACGCUGAAGCUCGAAGGUGCGGGUAUCGAACAGG
rnacentral:rRNA from 1 species